rnacentral:rRNA from 1 species
CCUACGGGCGGCUGCAGUGGGGAAUAUUGGACAAUGGGGGCAACCCUGAUCCAGCCAUGCCGCGUGUGUGAAGAAGGCCCUCGGGUUGUAAAGCACUUUCAGUGAGGAAGAACGCCUGGUGGUUAAUACCCAUCAGGAAAGACAUCACUCACAGAAGAAGCACCGGCUAACUCCGUGCCAGCAGCCGCGGUAAUACGGAGGGUGCGAGCGUUAAUCGGAAUUACUGGGCGUAAAGCGCGCGUAGGUGGCUUGAUAAGCCGGCUGUGAAAGCCCCGGGCUCAACCUGGGAACGGCAUCCGGAACUGUCAAGCUAGAGUGCAGGAGAGGAAGGUAGAAUUCCCGGUGUAGCGGUGAAAUGCGUAGAGAUCGGGAGGAAUACCAGUGGCGAAGGCGGCCUUCUGGACUGACACUGACACUGAGGUGCGAAAGCGUGGGUAGCAAACAGGAUUAGAUACCCGAGUAGUC